GCCAGGCGUGGUGGCGCACGCCUGUAAUCCCAGCUACUUGGGAGGCUGAGGCAGGAGAAUUGCAUGAAUCCAGGAGAUGGAGGUUGCAGUGAGCCAAGAUCAUGCCACUGCACUCCAACCUGGGUGACAAAGCAAGACUCCAUCUCAA
ensembl:misc_RNA Metazoa_SRP Metazoan signal recognition particle RNA